CCUACGGGUGGCAGCAGUGGGGAAUAUUGGACAAUGGGGGCAACCCUGAUCCAGCCAUGCCGCGUGUGUGAAGAAGGCCCUCGGGUUGUAAAGCACUUUCAGUGAGGAAGAACGCCUGGUGGUUAAUACCCAUCAGGAAAGACAUCACUCACAGAAGAAGCACCGGCUAACUCCGUGCCAGCAGCCGCGGUAAUACGGAGGGUGCGAGCGUUAAUCGGAAUUACUGUGCGUAAAGCGCGCGUAGGUGGCUUGAUAAGCCGGUUGUGAAAGCCCCGGGCUCAACCUGGGAACGGCAUCCGGAACUGUCAAGCUAGAGUGCAGGAGAGGAAGGUAGAAUUCCCGGUGUAGCGGUGAAAUGCGUAGAGAUCGGGAGGAAUACCAGUGGCGAAGGCGGCCUUCUGGACUGACACUGACACUGAGGUGCGAAAGCGUGGGUAGCAAACAGGAUUAGAUACCCUUGUAGUC
rnacentral:rRNA from 1 species